UACGUAGGGUGCAAGCGUUAAUCGGAAUUACUGGGCGUAAAGCGUGCGCAGGCGGCUUUGCAAGACAGAUGUGAAAUCCCCGGGCUUAACCUGGGAACUGCAUUUGUGACUGCAUGGCUAGAGUGCGGCAGAGGGGGAUGGAAUUCCGCGUGUAGCAGUGAAAUGCGUAGAUAUGCGGAGGAACACCGAUGGCGAAGGCAGCCCCCUGGGCUGAGAUUGACGCUCAGGCACGAAAGCGUGGGGAGCAAACAGGG
rnacentral:rRNA from 1 species